rnacentral:rRNA from 1 species
UACGUAGACAGCAAGCGUUGUUCGGAGUUACUGGGCGUAAAGCGUGCGCAGGCGGUUCGCCAAGUCAGGUGUGAAAUCCCCGGGCUUAACCUGGGAAUUGCGCUUGAAACUAGCGGGCUUGAGUGCGGCAGAGGGGGGUGGAAUUCCACGUGUAGCAGUGAAAUGCGUAGAGAUGUGGAGGAACACCGAUGGCGAAGGCAGCCCCCUGGGUCGACACUGACGCUCAUGCACGAAAGCGUGGGG